AAAAUGACGAUGAGAGGAAAUAGUACAUUUCCUAGUGCUGUUUUUAGAGAGCUGCCGGGUGGUGAAAGGCAGUAAUGGUAUGGAAUUGGAACUCUUCCUCGAGUAGCCGACCGAAAUGAUAAAAGUAGGCUCGGACGGAGCUUCCGCCGUUAAAAGGAAGGAGAUAUCGGAACCUCGAUGUUCGAUGCCUGUAGUUCGACCCGUAAAGUUAUUUUAAAGUUGAACUUCGCACAUCGUGCCUCGAACCUCGCGUUGCUCCCGUAUCUUGCAGAGAAGACGGCUUUUUUGCUGUCAACUUGAGUGGUACCGCGAACUAACCCUUCGUCUCAAUC
rnacentral:ncRNA from 1 species